GUGGGGAAUAUUGGGCAAUGGGGGAAACCCUAACCCAGCGACGCCGCGUGAGGGAAGACGGCCUUCGGGUUGUAAACCUCUUUUGUACGGGAAGAAGGAAGUGACGGUACUGUACGAAUAAGUCCCGGCUAACUACGUGCCAGCAGCCGCGGUAAUACGUAGGGGACGAGCGUUGUCCGGAAUUACUGGGCGUAAAGGGCGCGCCGACUGUGCUGCAAGUCAGCUGUGAAAUGUCUGGGCUUAACCCGGGCAUGCGGUUGAGACUGGAGUGCUGGAGUGCUGUAGAGGCAAGUGUAAGUCCCAGUGUAGCGGUGAAAUGCGUAGAUAUUGGGAAGAACCCCGGUGGCGAAGGCGACUUGCUGGGCAGCAACGGACGCUGAGGCGCGAAAGUGUGGGGAGCAAACAGGAUUAGAUACCCGAGUAGUCC
rnacentral:rRNA from 1 species